UAGUCCACACCGUAAACGAUGAAUGCCAGUCGUCGGGUAGUAUACUAUUCGGUGACACACCUAACGGAUUAAGCAUUCCGCCUGGGGAGUACGGUCGCAAGAUUAAAACUCAAAGGAAUUGACGGGGGCCCGCACAAGCGGUGGAGCAUGUGGUUUAAUUCGACGCAACGCGCAGAACCUUACCCAGACUUGACAUCCACUGACCGCUAUAGAGAUAUAGUUUUCCCUUCGGGGACAGUGAGACAGGUGCUGCAUGGCUGUCGUCAGCUCGUGUUGUGAAAUGUUCGGUUAAGUCCGGCAACGAGCGCAACCCCUGUCCUUAGUUGCUAACAUUAAGUUGAGGACUCUAAGGAGACUGCCGGUGUUAAACCGGAGGAAGGCGGGGAUGACGUCAAGUCCUCAUGGCCCUUACGUCUGGGGCUACACACGUACUACAAUGGCAAAGACAGAGCGACGCGAAACUGCGAAGUGGAGCUAAUCGCAAAAACAUUGUCUCAGUCCGGAUUGGAGUCUGCAAC
rnacentral:rRNA from 1 species